AAGAUGAAUCAAAGAAGGUAAUAAUCCUGUAGUCGAAAAUGUUGUCUCUCUUGAGUGGAUCCUGAGUACGACGGAGCACGUGAAAUUCCGUCGGAAUCUGGGAGGACCAUCUCCUAAGGCUAAAUACUCUCUAGUGACCGAUAGUGAACCAGUACCGUGAGGGAAAGGUGAAAAGCACCCCGGAAGGGGAGUGAAAUAGAACCUGAAACCGUGUGCUUACAAGUAGUCAGAGCCCGUUAAUGGGUGAUGGCGUGCCUUUUGUAGAAUGAACCGGCGAGUU
rnacentral:rRNA from 1 species